rnacentral:rRNA from 1 species
GACGAACGCUGGCGGCGUGCUUAACACAUGCAAGUCGAACGAAGUGGCGAACGGGUGAGUAACGCGUGAUCCACCUGCCCAUCAGAGGGGGACAACAGUUGGAAACGACUGUUAAUACCGCAUACUGAAGGAGGGGAUGGCGUGGGAUUAGCUAGUUUGAGGGGUAACGGCCCACCAAGGAGAUGAUCAGUAGCCGGUCUGAGAGGAUGAACGGCCACAUUGGGACUGAGACACGGUCCAUACUCCUACGGGAGGCAGCAGUGGGGAAUCUUCCGCAAUGGACGAAAGUCUGACGGAGCAACGCCGCGUGAGUGAUGACGGCCUUCGGGUUGUAAAGCUCUGUUAAUCGGGACGCGGUACCGGAAUAGAAAGCCACGGCUAACUACGUGCCAGCAGCCGCGGUAAUUC